rnacentral:rRNA from 1 species
AGAACGAACGCUGGCGGCAUGCCUAAUACAUGCAAGUCGAACGAACUCUUCGGAGUUAGUGGCGCACGGGUGCGUAACGCGUGGGAAUCUGCCCUUGGGUUCGGAAUAACAGUUGGAAACGACUGCUAAUACCGGAUGAUGACGAAAGUCCAAAGAUUUAUCGCCCAGGGAUGAG